UCGAGAAUCUUCGGCAAUGAGCGCAAGCUUGACCGAGCGACGCCGCGUGCGGGAUGAAGGCCCUCGGGUUGUAAACCGCUGUCGUAGGGGAGGAAAUCAACGAGGGUUCUCCCUCGUAGUUGACCUAUCCUAGGAGGAAGUCCGGGCUAAGUUCGUGCCAGCAGCCGCGGUAAGACGAACCGGACAAACGUUAUUCGGAAUUACUGGGCUUAAAGGGUUCGUAGGCGGCCUUGUAAGUGGGGUGUGAAAUCCCUCGGCUCAACCGAGGAACUGCGCUCCAAACUACAAGGCUUGAGGGAGACAGAGGUAAGCGGAACUGAUGGUGGAGCGGUGAAAUGCGUUGAUAUCAUCAGGAACACCGGUGGCGAAAGCGGCUUACUGGGUCUCUUCUGACGCUGAGGAACGAAAGCUAGGGUAGCGAACGGGAUUAGAUACCCCCGUAGUCC
rnacentral:rRNA from 1 species